UACGUAGGGCGCAAGCGUUAUCCGGAAUUAUUGGGCGUAAAGAGCUCGUAGGCGGUUUGUCGCGUCUGCCGUGAAAAGUCCGGGGGCUCAACUCCGGAUCUGCGGUGGGUACGGGCAGACUAGAGUGAUGUAGGGGAGACUGGAAUUCCUGGUGUAGCGGUGAAAUGCGCAGAUAUCAGGAGGAACACCGAUGGCGAAGGCAGGUCUCUGGGCAUUAACUGACGCUGAGGAGCGAAAAGCAUGGGGAGCGAACAGG
rnacentral:rRNA from 1 species